GGCCUACCAUGGUGGUAACGGGUAACGGGGUGUUAGGGCACGACACCGGAGAGGGAGCCUGAGAAACGGCUACCACAUCCAAGGAUGGCAGCAGGCGCGCAAAUUACCCAAUCCCGACACGGGGAGGUAGUGACAAUAAAUAACAAUACGGGGUUCUUUAGGAUCUCGUAAUUGGAAUGAGUACAAUUUAAAUCUCUUAACGAGGAACAAUUGGAGGGCAAGUCUGGUGCCAGCAGCCGCGGUAAUUCCAGCUCCAAUAGCGUAUAUUAAAGUUGUUGCAGUUAAAAAGCUCGUAGUUGAAUUUCGGGGUUAGUAGGUUGGUCAUGCCUCUGGUAUGUACUGGUCUCACUGAUUCCUCCUUCCUUAUGAACCGUAAUGCCAUUAAUUUGGUGUUGCAGGGAAUUUGGACUGUUACUUUGAAAAAAUUAGAGUGUUUAAAGCAAGCUAACGCUUGAAUACAUUAGCAUGGAAUAAUGAAAUAGGACGUUCGAUCUUAUUUUGUUGGUUUCUAGGAUUGACGUAAUGAUUAAUAGGGAUAGUUGGGGGCAUUAGUAUUCAAUUGUCAGAGGUGAAAUUCUUGGAUUUAUUGAAGACUAACUACUGCGAAAGCAUUUGCCAAGGAUGUUUUCAUUAAUCAAGAACGAAAGUUAGGGGAUCGAAGACGAUCAGAUACCGUCGUAGUCUUAACCAUAAACUAUGCCGACUAGGGAUCGGAUG
rnacentral:rRNA from 1 species